rnacentral:lncRNA from 1 species
GGAGAGAGAAGACCCUGCCAUGGAACACCACCCCCACUCCCCCUCCCCACCCUCAUCGCCCCCCCCACCCCAAGAGCCUCCCCCAGGCCCCGCCCAGAACUCCAGCAGAACUCAGAACUACGGGAUGGAAGAGAGCAACUUCGGUUCACUUCACACCCUGUCCCUACACAAAAGAAAUGCCUCACCUCAGCCCACACUAACAACAACCUCAGCACACCCUAAUGGCUUCCCUACCUGUUGCUGCCAUCUCAGCUACGCACUGAAAAGCAGGAAUGCAGCAGAAGCGAAGAUCAAGAGUACCAGGCACCCCACGCAAUAA